ACCUGCGAACGCAGCCCAGCUGACUGCCAUCACUGUCAGUCGCUGCCGGAUCACCAUUCGAUAAUCAACACCAUGCGCGAAGUCAUCUCCGUCCAUGUGGGGCAGGCCGGCGUUCAGAUGGGCAACGCGGCCUGGGAGCUGUAUUGUUUAG